UACGUAGGGGGCUAGCGUUGUCCGGAUUUAUUGGGCGUAAAGAGCGUGUAGGCGGCCAGGUAGGUCUGGUGUGAAAACUCGAGGCUUAACCUCGAGAUGUCAUCGGAAACCAUCUGGCUAGAGUCCGGAGGAGGAGAGUGGAAUUCCUGGUGUAGCGGUGAAAUGCGCAGAUAUCAGGAAGAACACCAAUGGCGAAAGCAGCUCUCUGGGACGGUACUGACGCUGAGACGCGAAAGCGUGGGGAGCGAACAGG
rnacentral:rRNA from 1 species